CCUACGGGAGGCAGCAGUAGGGAAUAUUGGGCAAUGGGCGAAAGCCUGACCCAGCGACGCCGCGUGAGGGAUGAAGGUCUUCGGAUUGUAAACCUCUUUCAGUAGGGAAGAAGCGAAAGUGACGGUACCUAAAGAAGGAGCACCGGCUAACUAUGUGCCAGCAGCCGCGGUAAU
rnacentral:rRNA from 1 species